GACGAACGCUGGCGGCGUGCUUAACACAUGCAAGUCGAACGGUAAGGCCCUUCGGGGUACACGAGUGGCGAACGGGUGAGUAACACGUGGGUGAUCUGCCCUGCACUUCGGGAUAAGCCUGGGAAACUGGGUCUAAUACCGGAUAGGACCACUGCCUGCAUGGGUGGUGGUGGAAAGCUUUUGCGGUGUGGGAUGGGCCCGCGGCCUAUCAGCUUGUUGGUGGGGUGAUGGCCUACCAAGGCGACGACGGGUAGCCGGCCUGAGAGGGUGACCGGCCACACUGGGACUGAGAUACGGCCAAGACUCCUACGGGAGGCAGCAGUGGUGAAUAUUGCACAAUGGGCGCAAGGCUGAUGCAGCGACGCCGCGUGAGGGAUGACGGCCUUCGGGUUGUAAACCUCUUUCAGCACCGACGAAGCGCAAGUGACGGUAGGUGCAGAAGAAGGACCGGCCAACUACGUGCCAGCCGCCGCCGUAA
rnacentral:rRNA from 1 species